CACAGAUCACUCACCUGAAUUUUAUCUUACCUAUCUUCUUUUUGUUGUUGCAGGCAGUAACCACUUACAAACAGGAGAGGUCAGCAAUGCACUAUUUCUGCGGACCGGCCUCCUGGCUGUUGAUGGUCAGACCGUGGCCUGGAGACGCCACAUUCCGAGGUCGGGAUCACCUACAAAACAGAAGCCCUGGAGCCAGAGGACCUGGACCAUGGACACAUCAGCAGGACAGUGCUUAGCCGCACACUUGUCAGGAGGUGUUGAAGCAAAGCCAUGCAGUCAGUGGGGCCGUCAACGUUACCUGGUUGCCAUCGAUGAAAAGGACAGAUGUGGCUGAAUAAGUGCCAACAUUCCCGAUCUUGUGCAAAGCAAGGUCUAACAUGAAAUAUUGACUUGCCAAAAGAUUAAGUGAUGAGGUUUAUAUUUGAGGAAAUAAAAUGUAAAUGUUUGUCUGUU